rnacentral:rRNA from 1 species
UACGAAGGGGGCUAGCGUUGCUCGGAAUUACUGGGCGUAAAGGGAGCGUAGGCGGCCAGUUUAGUCAGAGGUGAAAGCCCAGGGCUCAACCCUGGAAUUGCCUUUGAUACUGAUUGUCUUGAGUAUGGGAGAGGUGUGUGGAACUCCGAGUGUAGAGGUGAAAUUCGUAGAUAUUCGGAAGAACACCAGUGGCGAAGGCGACACACUGGCCCAUUACUGACGCUGAGGCUCGAAAGCGUGGGGAGCAAACAGG